rnacentral:rRNA from 1 species
UGGUCCUACGGGAGGCAGCAGUGAGGAAUAUUGGUCAAUGGGCGGGAGCCUGAACCAGCCAAGUCGCGUGAAGGAAGAAGGAACUUAGUAUUGUAAACUUCUUUUGUCGGGGAACAAAGGCGGAGACGCGUCUCCGGAUGAGUGUACCCGAAGAAAAAGCAUCGGCUAACUCCGUGCCAGCAGCCGCGGUAAUACGGAGGAUGCGAGCGUUAUCCGGAUUUAUUGGGUUUAAAGGGGGCGCAGGCGGGAGAUCAAGUCAGCGGUAAAAUUUCGGGGCUCAACCCCGGCCGGCCGCUGGAACUGGG